UACGACUACAUAUCAGGCAUAUCAAUAAGCGGAGGAAAAGAAACUAACACGGAUUCCCCUAGUAACGGCGAGUGAAGCGGGAAGAGCUCAAAUUUGAAAUCUUAAAGGGUUUCCCUUUACGAAUUGUAGUUUAAAGAAGUGUUUUCUGUUGGAGUUUCGGUAAAAGUUCUUUGGAAUAGGACAUCAUAGAGGGUGAGAAUCCCGUAUUUGACCGUUACUUUCCAGCUGUGUGAUACACUUUCAAAGAGUCGGAUUGUUUGGGAAUGCAGUCCAAGAUGGGUGGUAAAUUUCAUCUAAAGCUAAAUAUUGGCGAGAGACCGAUAGCGAACAAGUACCGUGAGGGAAAGAUGAAAAGAACUUUGAAAAGAGAGUUAAACAGUACGUGAAAUUGUCAAAAGGGAAGCGUUUGACACCAGUGUUGUUUAGUUGAAAUCAAUUCAAUAGUUUUUGAUUCUGAGUAGUAUUGACUUCAUCAGCUUGCUGCUUUCUUCUCAGAAAUUAUUGAAUGCACUUUUCAGUUAACAAGUCAACAUCAAUUUCUUUUGUUGUAAAAGGGUAAGAGGAAGGUGGCUUGCGCUUCGGCUCAAGUGUUUAUAGCCUUUUAUCUCUGCAAUCGGAGAGAUUGAGGUCUGCAGCGUAGAUCCUUCGGGGUUAGAUACAUUGGUGCUAAGCUAUAGCCUUGUAUAGACAACUUGUUGACUAUGCUCAGUCAUGUAGCUUACUCGCUGAUGCUAUUUUACCUACGCUUAGGAUGUUGAGUAGCGACAUACGCAC
rnacentral:rRNA from 1 species